rnacentral:rRNA from 1 species
CCUACGGGAGGCAGCAGUGAGGAAUAUUGGUCAAUGGUCGCGAGCCUGAACCAGCCAAGCCGCGUGAGGGAGGACGGUCCUGAGUAUUGUAAACCUCUUUUGUCAGGGAACAAAGUCUGGCACGCGUCCCCUUCUGAGUGUACCUGAAGAAAAAGCAUCGGCUAACUCCGUGCCAGCAGCCGCGGUAAUACGGAGGAUGCGAGCGUUAUCCGGAUUUAUUGGGUUUAAAGGGGGCGGAGAGGGGUUGUUAAGUCAGCAGUGAAAGGACGGGGCUCAACCCCCGGAUGGCAGUUGAAACUGGCAGUCUUGAGUUGGAGAGAGGUAUGCGGAAUGCGUGGUGUAGUGGUGAAAUGCAUAGAUAUCACGCAGAACUCCGAUUGCGAAGGCAGCAUGCCGGCUCCACACUGACGCUGAGGCACGAAAGCGUGGGUAUCGAACAGGAUUAGAUACCCUUGUAGUC